CCUAGAUUAUAGGCAAAUACUAUGCCAUAUUAUAUGAAGGAUUUUGAAUAUAGGAUUUAGUAUGUGUUUCCAUAGUUACCAGGUGAUGACUAUUCCACAAAUCAUAUCUUUACCAAUAAAAUAUGAAAUAUUAGUUUUAAGUUGAAAAGACAAUUUCAGUUGCUUCGAUUUCCUCCUGUAUGUUCCUUUAGGGUGCAUCAUUUUGCAGCAGUUUGGAUCACAGAAGAUAUUUGCUAAACUGAAGAGUUUUGCCGAAGUCAGAAAUAAUAUUCCACAUAACCAGCAUUGGUAUUAUUAGCUUUAAGUGAUACAACUGUUCCUCAAAAGUGUUUUGUAAGCUGCUGAGUGAAACAUCAACUUUUGGAUUUUAGUUUCAAUUGUAACCUGCAAAUUAAUUUUCUUCUCUAUUCUGCCAGAUACACUAAAUAAUUCCCUCUCUUCUCUGGUUUGUUUAAGGGAAAUGGUGCUGGGAAGAAAGGGCGCUCUUGACUUGCACACUGUUUAAGUGCAACAAAUCUUAAUGAGCAAUUUUCCUUACUUCUUUUUUUAAUAAAGUGCUAUCAAUACUGCUUUUGAAUAGUGAUAACAUAUUCAUUCUUAUCACUGACCCUGAUUACUAAUUAAUUAUAAGUGUAUUAGUUCUUUUAAUCCCGAUUAUAAGAUAAUAUUAAUACUACUGCACUGCCUAACACUAGCAUCUUUGAAUGUGGCUGUUCAGAGCUGAAUGAAAAUGGAAGAGGGUAAUUUUCUGAGGUAACACAGUAAAGACUUCGUAAUUCCAGCGUUUUCUGCUCAUGAAGCAGUCACCAGUACAGCUUGGAACUUGAGACCAAAUAUAUUUUGGUGCCUUGCACUGACCAGGGUCCUGCACUCGGAAACAGAGCAGUGUUUGUGAUGAUCAAAUGGAGUCAAGUAAGGAAUUACUAUAUAGUGUUCUAUGAUACUGUAUAUUGUAAAUUUAUUUGAUUCAUCUGUUGCUCACUUGCUACCAUAAAUAUACAUUAGAAUACUUGUAAUUGGCCCUUAAAGUUACGCAUGUUUUUGUUUCUGUGGGAGAGAUGACAGGGAAGAGAUUACAGUGUCAUAAAUUUUAAGAUGUUGUCAUUUCCAAGGGAUUACUUCCUGCAGUCUUGCUAUAUAUAUUUGAUUAAAUGAUGUGAAUUUAUGCUUCAGUAAGUAUAAGCCUCACUUUAUUUUGUGAAUUUUAUAUUACAUUUCCUAUGAAAGUAUCUUUUUGUCAA